rnacentral:rRNA from 1 species
CGGACGGGUGAGUAACGCGUGAGAAUCUAGCUUCAGGUCGGGGACAACAGUUGGAAACGGCUGCUAAUACCGGAUGUGCCGAAAGGUAAAAGGCUUGCUGCCUGAAGAUGAGCUCGCGUCUGAUUAGCUAGUAGGUGUGGUAAGAGCGCACCUAGGCGACGAUCAGUAGCUGGUCUGAGAGGACGAUCAGCCACACUGGGACUGAGACACGGCCCAGACUCCUACGGGAGGCAGCAGUGGGGAAUUUUCCGCAAUGGGCGAAAGCCUGACGGAGCAAUACCGCGUGAGGGAGGAAGGCUCUUGGGUUGUAAACCUCUUUUCUCAAGGAAGAAUACAAUGACGGUACUUGAGGAAUAAGCAUCGGCUAACUCCGUGCCAGCAGCCGCGGUAAUACGGAGGAUGCAAGCGUUAUCCGGAAUGAUUGGGCGUAAAGCGUCCGCAGGUGGCAAUGAAAGUCUGCUGUUAAAGAGUGAGGCUCAACCUCAUAAAAGCGGUGGAAACUACAUAGCUAGAGUACGUUCGGGGCAGAGGGAAUUCCUGGUGUAGCGGUGAAAUGCGUAGAGAUCAGGAAGAACACCGGUGGCGAAAGCGCUCUGCUAGGCCUGUACUGACACUGAGGGACGAAAGCUAGGGGAGCGAAUGGGAUUAGAUACCCCAGUAGUC